rnacentral:lncRNA from 1 species
GAGCGACUGUGAAGAAUGCAAAGCCAGUGCCAAACUUCGGAACCGAUAGCCCGGGCGGCGUGUUGGCACAGCGAGGAUAAUGAACGAGAGACCCGAUAGACAGCGAUGACAGCUGUUCACGGCACCGACACAGAGGACAGAUUGCAGUGCAAGAUAGGAGCGGUCUUCCUGCAAGCCCAGACAAGCCAUAUUGAGUGGUUUCAAAUACAGCAACUGUACCACCACGACAGUGCAGCACAAGAGACCCUAUCGUCAGAGCUGAGUCAGAAAUUAAAUAGAAAAGCGCUUUCUUCUGAAAUCUUUCGCCUGGUCUUAUUUCGUUUGUUUGUGAUUGCAAAAGAGCUCUUUCGUAGGAAAUACAAAAUUUAACUAGCCCCAUUUAUUGUCCUAUAGAAACUAAAUAGGUUGACAAUUUAGCGCUCGUUUACAAAUGCAUGUAUCAUAGACCUGCAAGAUUAUUGACUGGCUUUGAAAGACUGUUACGUGUAAAGAACAAUGGUGAUCUAGUCAUUGCUCGAAAUGGUCUGCUGGCGUUUAUGUGACAAUCGUCUAAAGCAUACACACUUUUGUAUUGUUAACCACAAAAAUAUUUAUUGACCUGUGUGCAGCAAACAUGCUGUUGCUGGCAUAAGGCCAAGGUCUGCAAUAUGGUGUUUAAUGUCAACCUAAUGCAUAUGUUCAAUUGCGUUUCACUAGACAACGGCCAUUAGAAACUCACGCAUUAGGACUCCAUAGACUAACGCUAGACAAUGGUCAUCGGAAACUCUAACGUCAUGACUCUAUAGACUAACGGUGGCCAAUUACUAUUAGACUCGCAUUAGGUGUGCAUUAGAAAGCGCAUUAGACUGGCAUUAGACAGUAUAAUGAUUCUUAUGUCUAAAGACAUUAGUCUGUCUAUUAAUACACAUUAAAUUUUUUCA